rnacentral:misc_RNA from 1 species
UCUUUAAUUUGCACCAAUUUAGCUUUCAAACUUCAAUUUCUAUGUAGUUAUGAUCAAAUCAAACUCACUUGAUUUUGAUGAAAAAUCCAUCAGAAACCAACACUAAAUAGAGGCUUAUCUUGAAGAUUACAACUCCAAGAAGAGGUUAAAAAGCACAUCUACCUGGUGAAAAGAAGAGGGAAAGAGAGUGGAUCUAAGAGACAUUAAAAGUAGGCAUUAAUACCCUUCUGCAACACAUCAACUAACCGGCUACUCCUUGACCUGCCACUCUGAAGUAUUUACUGCGCUCUGUCAACCUUAUAAUAUAAUCACCCAUUCCCUUCUCUCAGCUACUCAUCAUCAUUCAAAGCUUCUUCUUCUUGCUUGUGUUUCUUCGAGAACUGAGAUCAUGGGGAAGGAGAAAUACAAGCAAACCUCAUUGUUGAUGUGGGUUUUGGGGGCCGGGCUGCUUUGCCAAAACUUGGUCAUUGUUCCUGUAAUGGCUACAUUCUUUGAAGAUCAAAAGAACUACCCAUCCCCAGACCCACAUGCAGCAAGUCCCCCCACAGGUUCAGCCAGAAGCCCUCACCAUGGCAGUGGUACUCCAUCACAUGGAGUUAGACAUAGUGGCACUCCAUCACAUGGAGGUAGCCAUGGUGGCACUCCAUCACAUGGAGGUAGCCAUG